UACGUAGGGUGCAAGCGUUGUCCGGAUUUAUUGGGUUUAAAGGGUGCGUAGGUGGCUUUUUAAGUCAUGGGUGAAAGCCCGCAGCUCAACUGUGGAAUUGCCUGUGAUACUGAGGAGCUUGAGUGCGGUUGAGGCAGCUGGAAUUGGUGGUGUAGCGGUGAAAUGCAUAGAUACCACCAGGAACACCGAUUGCGAAGGCAGGUUGCUAAGCCGUAACUGACACUGAGGCACGAAAGCGUGGGGAGCAAACAGG
rnacentral:rRNA from 1 species